GAGGCUAUGACCUAGGCUGAAUUUGUUAGAUUUCUUUUUGUUGAGGAUGUUUUAAAGUCCUCAGGUCAGUGGGGUCUUACUGUGAGGCUCUUGUCCCUUUUUGUUUGUGCACGCUCACCUGGAUCCCUUUCCAUCCCUGGUACUGCCAGUGGCCCAGUGCACGAGUACAAGGGAAAGGCAGGGCAGCUGCUGCUCCCACUUGGCAUGAUUGCCUAGGAGGGAGUUACACAAAAGGAGAGAAUUGAUUUCUAGGUUGGUUUCCGUGAGAAAAAUGAAACUUCCUGCGAUUUGUCUAUGUGCGUCUCCCUCACCCCCCCCCCCCCCCUUCCAAAUAACUUUUGAACCCUUUGGUCAGUUUUGGCCCUGUUGGAUUGGGAGUUCCCACUGCAGGAAGUUAAUUGAGAUGAGCAGUUGGUAAGAGGAGAGAGUCGCCAUGAACAUCCCUCUGAAGAGGAACCUGUGGCUUGGCACCGGGGAAUUCACACGGAAAAGAGAUGCGAACGCUCCAGCAUUUCUGUGGGGUCUACUGAAUUGUUUUGCCUGAACUGUGUAAGUGACUUGAUUUAUUACUGAGCUACGAAGAGCAACAGGAAACAUCCACUAUUUGUAUACACCAGCCCGAAUUUACUUGUUUUAUGCUUCUAGUGUGCACGGUAAACUUCUGACAGUCUGCCCCAGAAUUUUAUUAGUUGAUCUGGAAGAAGUCUGCCUUUGCAAGACCAGGUCUGUGCAGGUUCCCUGGGCGCUGAAUGCGACCUUCACCAGGUCAGAUUGCUUCAGACCUGCCUCGUGGAUGUACUGGCGCUGCACAAUGUCCAACUGCAAAACAAGGCCAACAUUGAACUUCAAAAUUCAAGUGCAGCUGUAAGAGAUACCAUCCAUAAAGCCAUGGAGAAAGGAUGUUCUGAAAGCACUAAUUAGACCUGACUGGGCUGUGACAUUAAAAAAAAAAAACCAAAACAACACAACCAACAUUUGGGGAAAGCAUCAUUAGGGCAUGUGCAUUCCACAGUGAUCCUAUGUGUAGGAAAGAAGAAGAAAAAAUAAUUUAGAGGGAUUUUACCUAGAAAUUGGACAUUCAACAGGAGUAGCACACACUGUUUUGAAGUAUUUUUUCAACUAUCAACAUUUAGCUAUGCUUAACAAGUAAAAGGUUUGCAAUAAAGGCAAGAACAUCUCAGCCUGGAAUCCAGCCUUGCCAUACAGCUGCUGGGUUUUUUUCCUUUUUGCCACAUUAAGUCUUCAAAUAAAUUCUGAUGCACAAGUUACUUGACUAAAGAACUUAAAAGUUUUGGUACAAGCUCAUUCAACUUACACUGAAGAGCUGUUGGUCACUUUGGAGGCAAUAGAACUGCAAGUGGCCAGGCUCUCCAUUCAUGACCAGAGCUUUGGUUCUAGGAUCAACCACUAGGCCAGUCUUGACAUCCCUACCUGGAAACAAAAAUCAGGUGACAAAUGACCAAAGAUGGUAAGUGACACAUUCCAUCCUCUAAAGGGAAGGUAAGUUUUAUUGAACUUACUUUUGAUUAGCCCUUGAAUACUUCUGGAAAACCUUAGGUUGCUGUUGAUUAUUGUAAUUCCUGAAAGAGAAACCAAACCAGGUCUUGCAAAAGGCUUUUGCAAUGUAACCACAUCUCACAGUGGGAAAGGGACCACAACCAACUGUCCUGCAAAUGUAUCUUUUCCCAAUUUAUGACACCCCUACAUCAGGGUGGAAGGCCAAGUUACAGCAGUCACCAGGAAAAUUCACAGAACUGAUGCAGGAGAAAAAAAUCGCUUCAAGCAUCUGUCCUUUCAGAUCAGCACUGACAUUUCAUGCAGUAUCUGUUUAAUUAAUCUGAAAUCAACAAAAUAAAGCUCAUACAGAUUUGCAUUCCAUUUUGCAUUAAGUGAUGCUCAAGUUUGCUUUGGCUUACUGUUGUCUGUGUGCAAGGUGCAGCAGAGCGCGCCGUCAGAUGACAUGGAGAUGUACUCAAUGGGAGACCCCAAACGAGGCAGGAAAUCCUUCUGACACGAUGAUUCAUUGUGCCACUGGACUAAAACUGAUUCAACUCCACCACUCAGCAACCUGGUU